rnacentral:lncRNA from 1 species
CUCAGCCAAAAAAUGGAUAACAUUGAAAUCUCCUACUAGCACCCACAAUAAAUUAUUGGUUGGGACAAGAUUGCAAAGCUCAGAGAAGAAUUCCACCCAAGAAGAAUGGUCGUGAGGUCCGUAGACGUUAGUGAUAAUGAACUCGACAUUUGUUUGUUUGCUAUUGAAUUGAGUGGUUAGGGAGAAUCUUCCCCGAUGGAUUAGAUUCCCUACUAUUUCAUUUAGGUCCCACAC